UGAACUGGAUCAGAUUAAUAUAAAUAUAUUAAAAAAAUAUAUAUAGAUAAUUCAUGUAUUUCUAAACAAAUGUGUAUAAAUGUGUAAUCUCAAAAUUGAAUUAAGUUGAAUUGAAUGGGUCGAAAGUAUAGAAAAAAGUUGUGAAUUGAAUAGAAUAUGGAAAUUAUUAUACCCAGCCUUACACGAAUGAUCUGACACGUUUUUAGCAUAUAGUGUUCACACUGGACUGUCACUGCUCGAUACAAAUGUACCAGGAGGAUGGGGCCAAAUAUCGAACCAGUACAAAUCUUGCCAAUCUUCCUCCAGGGAUUUUCUUUUACUGCUCUAUUCGAUUUAUGAAUCAUAGAAUUCCAGCCAGACACAAACCGCAAUUAUUGAUUUCUCCUCCAUGAUCAAUUUUCAAACUUCCAUGAAUCAUAAAUCUCACACUGAAAGUGGUUGCUUGAGCACACAUUUCGGGGGCCGGUGUGAACGUAGCAUAAGGGUCCCUGCUUGCUGAGAAGACACAUGGAAAGCUUCAAACUGGCUUUUACUGCUUUCCAAAUGACCUUCAGGCUCAAGAAAAAAAAAUGUACAGCUGAUUGUGAGGAACAAGUUAUUUAGGACAAACAAAAAAAGAAAAUGGUACAGAAAGUUUCAACCUCUUGCCAAGGCACUCUGGGGCCUUGCACUUGAUUUCACCCUCUGUCACACAUUCUGUUUUUUGGCACAACGUUGCCGUCAAUAAUUUAUUUCUUUCACUCUUUUAAAGAAGAUAAAUGAACAUUCCUGUUGUAUCUUUGGGUGUGCCAGAAGCACCUCGCUCAUAUAUCCAGCGAACUCCAUUCGUCUGCAUCUUUAUUCUAGACACUUUAGCACCGACAUUUUCUCUGAUUCGAUGUAGAGUAGUCGUCUCAUGUACAAAAAGCAAUCGACAAGUAACUUACAGCGAACUAGCAAUGUAAUAGGACUCAUGACACAUAUCAGUGGCGUGUUAUUCAGUGUCUAUCAUAGGUGAGACACAAGUUGAGACAGUUAUGACUCCAUGACAACAUUUUUUGACGUGUGAAGUCGUAGUGGAUUCAUCCCAGUAUUUCUACAGUUGUGUUGUUUCAGAGGAGACGGGUGUGAGAUGAUGAUGAUGCUGGUUUGUGUUCAUCAGCGUGAUCCAUUUAUAGGUAAGUGGCGGUCUGGUCUGAGCAGUAACCCUGAGAGCAAACUGUGAUCUUUGUGGAGCUUCAGCUCCUGGUGGACGAACGGAUGUUGAUGAAAAACAAUGUUUAGAUCACUGCAGCCUGUUCAGGUUCCUCUUUCUAUGAUUGCGUUUUCCUCCAAGUUUUUUAGUUUUUUAGAUCCGUGUUUUUGAUCGAUGAGGCCUUAUGGUGUAAACCUCUUUGCAGACAAUACUGUGUCUUAUGACACAGAAAUCUUUUGAAGAAAAACUAUUGGGACUAUAAUUCCCAAAAGGUUCAUCAUUAAAAAAAAAAAAAGAUAAAAAGUGAAUUGCACUGAAUGAUUAACCGAAGCCCGGUACCUAAACGGCGAAAAAAUGCAAACAGCAGAGUUGGUGCGGCACCACUUUUCACACAAAACUUUUUUCAAACUCACUUUCUUGACACUAGAGCCCCCAAAGUACGGCCGGCGGGCCGGAUCCUGCCCACCUCCACAUUAGCCCCACCCCCUCAAACACUAUCAGAAUCUGGCCGAUUGAGACCCAAAUAGAACGUGACAUUUUAUUCCACCCGUCUGCAGUCUGAAUAUGACAGAAGAGGAUAAACCAUUUAUUGGCUUAAUUGUGAAUUACGUUUUCUUUAUUAUUCUUCUGUACGUUUUGUGGAUGUCCAUAGCUCUUCAGCUCCCUCUUUACAACUGUUUUGUCAGUUACUACGGAUUUCAAGGCUAUUUUGGAAUUUAGCUAAUAUUUUAGCUACAUGCUAGAUUUUUUUUCUAAAUUAGACAUUUUUCUAUUUUUUUAGGCUAAUUUGACAUUUUUGCUCUCCUGAUUAUGCGAGAGCCAGAGGUAAUCCAUGGGUGACAUGACACCUCGCUUUGCCUAUUGUUUCUACAGUCAGUGGUUGGAACGGGACGUAAACCAUUUGGUAUGGGUGACAUCACACUCACUCUGUCCAGUUCUCUUAUACAGUCAAUGGUUUUAAAAUUUAAAUACCACAUGAAUAUUUUGGUAUAGCUUUGAGACACUUAAAAAUAACUCCACAUCUAUUUAAGAAAACAUUUGUUGAGAAAUAUUUAAAUAUGUUGGAAAAGAAUAAAGGCAAACACAAAAAAAAAAAAAAACAGUUUCUUGUUGCUUCACAUAUCUUAUUCACCUGGAACUCCAAUAGCAUGAAUAUUAAGAGCUUAAACUUUAAUAAGGUUAGUAUGUUAGUUUUAUUUAAAUUUUAAUGAAUAUUACAUCUUGAAAAUUGAAGGUAAAUUCUAACUGUGAUGAGUGCAGUCCCUGACAGUCAGAACUGGGUUACUUUUCUUAUUCUUGUCACACCGUGUGAAUGUAGACGGCGGGGAAAUGAAAGCCCUGAUUUCCUGAUUUUCUGUGUGAUUCCAAUUUAGAGAAAUUCGAGAAAUGUUGAGCUUUCUAUUUUUACGAGCCUUAUUUUGCCCAACUACAUAAAAAUAAAUUAAACUGAGGAACAGUUUGUGGGCGGAAACAAGUCAUGAAACAACUUUAAAUUUGAUUCAAAUUCCUGCUGGACAUGUAGCUAUUUUUUUCCCUUUUUUCUAAGAGAAUUUGUUUGGGUUUUACAAAAAAAAAACAAAAACAAUAAAAAAAUAAGCCAAAUUUUACUUCUAGCCUUAAAGAAGAGUGUUUAUUAUUCAUCAGAUUUUUUCUGUUCAGUCCUAAUUCAUGACGUCUUUGCUUUGUGUCUUCACUGAGCUCUUUACUGUGAUAUAUUUGCAGAAUUUUCUCCUUUCCUUUUACUUUUUUAUUGCUUCUGUUGCAAACACUGACUCUGUGUCAUCAUUCAUUUGUUGUGUUCAGUUUUCCUGGUGAAGCUCUGAUGUUUGUCUCGGUCCGUCCGUGUCUCAUUCUCAGUCUCUUUCAUUUUUGUUUGCACACAGCGGUCAGGAAACUUCUUCUCUAUUUCUCCAGAUGUUUAAGAAUUCCCUUUAGUUUGUAAUCUGUUAUAUUAAGGCUGUUUGUUUCAGGAAUACAAAACCAGGUUAAUUUAUUGUAGUUAGAAAUUAAAAUAUUUACUCCAAUUUAGUUUUUAUACAAACAACACAAUAAAUCAUCAGAAUAAAUAAACGACUUUAUUCCUAAUCGUAUCUUUUAAUGUGGAAAUCUUGGAGCAACAAAUCUGUUUGCAGCCGUUUAGGGUUUUACUUGACUUAAUAUAUUUGCAUUUGAAGCACAGAUUUAUAUUUUGUAACUGACAUGUCCCUUUUGAUGUUUUACAGCAAAAUAUUCACUGAUUAAUAUAUCUAAAAACUUGUAAAAUCCAGACUAAUUCCUUGGAUUGACAUCUGACUGAUAGUUGAUAGAUGAUAGUUUACAGUUAAAUUCAAAAGUGUCUUUAUUUAUGAUCAUUUUUCAUUUUCUUUUUUUGCUUAAAGAAUUUCUCCGCAGGUGAGAGGAGAAGCUGAAAAUUGUACUUAAUUAAAGUUAGUGUUAUUUCACAUUUUUCUACUUUGGGGUAAAAGGUUAACAGUAAAAAUAAAAUAAAAAUCUCAAGUGUUAAGUUUUUUUUAAAUUUAAUUAAAAAAGAAUAUAUAUAAAAAUAAUAUAAAAUGAAAUGAAAACAGUUACUAAAGGAAAGGGAGCUGAAAGAGUACAAAUAAACAUUAUCGGUCGCCAUCACUAAAUCAACAAAAGAAAAUCAAACAAAGAAAAUGAUCUUGACAUAAAUAUUAAGUCCAGCCAACAUUUUAAAUGAACAUAUAAACUUACACAUAAACGGUAUCUACACAAACCCUCAUUUAUUCUUAUUUACCUACACAGGGUUCAGUGGAAUUAACUACUUAAAGUCGUAUUAAAGCAUUUUUCUACAUUUUAUCUUUAACAGGGGUUUGAAACUCGAGCACAAGAGGGCCAACAUCUAAAACACAGAUUAGGUCGCAGGCCAAACAGGAUAAACAUUUAUUUAACGCUCUAAAACUAAGUUUUUAAAACUUUAAAAACAUAACUUUUAACAUUGCUAUGAAUAAAAACUGGCAGGAAUAUUAUUCCAGAAUAAAUAAACUUAAAGCUUAAAAAUCGUUCUGUAUUUUACUAUCCAUAAUAAUAUAUUUUGUCAAAAUUAUACAAGUUAGAAAUAAGUGCAAGAUAACAUCGGACCGUUCAUAACAAUAAAAUAAAAUUCAAUUCAGUUCAAUUUUAUUUAUAAAGCCCAAAAUCACAAAGGAAAUUUGCCUCAUUGGGCUUCAUGCAGGUAGUUUGAAAGAUACAGAAAAUUAGUCAUAAAAUAUGAACAAUAGUUAAAAACUAAACAGACUAAAUAAAAGGUUAUCCCUGCCCUCAGACCCUCUCUCCCGGUAAGGAAAAACUCCAAAAAAACGAUGAAAACAAAACACAAAAAAUGAUCUGGAGGGCCGGAUUCGGCCCCCGGGCCGUGACUUUGACACAUGCUCUCUAAUAUUUACGUCUCACUUUUAAAGGCAGCAAUUGUUUUUGUAUUUUGAGUUUAAACAUUUUUGACUCAAAAAUAAAUUUCUUCCAACCCCUUCCACCCAUUUUUAGUGAAAUAAAAUAUGAAUAAAAUGUAAACUAUAAACAUUAGAAUAAAAUCAAACAAAACAUCAAACCUAACUUCAGUAUAAAUUGAAGUGAAUUAUGUUGCUGCUUCAUAAAAACUCCUCUUUAACAGGUGGACUUGUUUAUUUAUUUGAUGCUUUUCAGGUCAAUUUAACAGUUUAAGGUUCCAAGACUUCUGAGCAGUGAAGUGACCCCAAUGAUGAAACUAGUGAUUGUGUUCUUCUAACAUUAAUAACCAGCUGCUGUUUACUUCAUGAAUAACAUUCAAUGUUAAUGAUAAAGAAAAGUGUCAGGAAUAGGUGGUGAGGACCCAAACGCAGGAGACCGGGCGUGGAGGCAAAAACGUAAAAUAUUGGGUUAACUGAAACAUGACACACAAAAAAAAAAAAAAACAUGGAGAAAAAAACCAGUGACAGAGCAAAA